UGGGGAAUAUUGCACAAUGGGCGCAAGCCUGAUGCAGCAACGCCGCGUGAGGGACGACGGCCUUCGGGUUGUAAACCUCUUUUAGUAGGGAAGAAGCGAAAGUGACGGUACCUGCAGAAAAAGCACCGGCUAACUACGUGCCAGCAGCCGCGGUAAUACGUAGGGUGCAAGCGUUAUCCGGAAUUAUUGGGCGUAAAGAGCUCGUAGGCGGUUUGUCGCGUCUGCUGUGAAAACUGGGGGCUCAACCCCCAGCCUGCAGUGGGUACGGGCAGACUAGAGUGCGGUAGGGGAGAUUGGAAUUCCUGGUGUAGCGGUGGAAUGCGCAGAUAUCAGGAGGAACACCAAUGGCGAAGGCAGAUCUCUGGGCCGUAACUGACGCUGAGGAGCGAAAGCAUGGGGAGCGAACA
rnacentral:rRNA from 1 species